rnacentral:lncRNA from 1 species
AGUAAUGAGAAAAGACACACCUGUGCGAUUCCUAAUCUCAGGAGGAUGGCCCAUGGGCUUCUCACCACUAAGGAUGGUAGCAGUUAAUUUGUAUUUCUCUGGCUACUAAAGGUUCUGAACAGUUUCCAGUUCUGUGAAGAAUGUCAUUGGAAUUUUGAAGAGGAUCACAUCAAAUCCGUAGGUUAUUUUGCUUGCAAAAUAAUGACAAUUCACAAUGACAAGUCUGUUAGCUCAUCAGUAUGAAGGUGACUCCAUUGACUUUGGCCUGACCCUGACUGUGAGUGAACAGCGAUGUGGCCGAUGAGCUAAUCUGAGGGAAAACAAAAGCUGAGAGAAGACAACUGUAAGCUUGGAUGUGUUCGGGGCAUCUGGAGAGGCAGCCCAUGUAAGGCCAGGUCCAACAUUCGUGAUCCAGGAUGAAGAAGGGAAAGGAUUCAGCCAUCCACAGUGACACAGAGGUCUCAGAGAAUCGAGAGUGCUCAGAGGCCCUGUUGUGGAAUGUCCCUCCUGGGCCCUGGAUCUGAAGGGGCCUCACACACAGCUCAUCACCUCUGAAGCACCAUGAACAAAGCAGCCAGAUGAGAACUCCCAGCAGACAGCUACUGAUGGAGAGACCAAAAGUGUGGAGUUGUGAAAGCAGGGCUUCAGAUAACAGGCAGGUCAGAGCCAGUGCCUUUCUGAGGAGAGGUCAGCCUUCCUCUCACUAAAACAGCUUAAAGUCCAAAACUGAGUUUCUUGAGUCACCUGGAUGUAGGAACUGGAAGCACGUGCCAAAGUCCACCAUGAAACAGGUCCACUGAGGGACCAGUCAGGAGAGGUCUAUGUGUUGAAGGUGGGUCAGCCUGUGGGCUUUGUGCUGUUGGACUCUUAAAGUAGCAGGAGGCUGGAGAGAUGACUGAGGAGCAGUAUUGCUCAGAAAAGUCAACGGCAGAAACACUCAACUGGCUGUUCGCGAGCACAGGCAUAGUCCAGGAGGACGAAAGGGUCCUGAAGGUGGAGGAAUGAGGGUGUGUGGCAUCAUGAAGUUCUAAUGCCAAAGAACUACAUUCUUAAAAACAGAAGGAUGUACCAGCGGCCACCAAAGAAGGAAGGAAGGAAGAAAGAACGGAAGGAAGGAAGAAGGAAGCGAGGGGAGGAUGGAAGGAGACAAGAAAGCAAGGAAAGAAGAGUGGAUGAAGGAAAAGGGGAGGG